rnacentral:rRNA from 1 species
UACGUAGGGCGCAAGCGUUGUCCGGAAUUAUUGGGCGUAAAGAGCUCGUAGGCGGCUUGUCACGUCGGGUGUGAAAGCCCGGGGCUUAACCCCGGGUCUGCAUUCGAUACGGGCUAGCUAGAGUGUGGUAGGGGAGAUCGGAAUUCCUGGUGUAGCGGUGAAAUGCGCAGAUAUCAGGAGGAACACCGGUGGCGAAGGCGGAUCUCUGGGCCAUUACUGACGCUGAGGCGCGAAAGCGUGGGGAGCAAACAGG